rnacentral:rRNA from 1 species
GGCCUACCAUGGUGGUAACGGGUAACGGGGAAUUAGGGUUCGAUUCCGGAGAGGGAGCCUGAGAAACGGCUACCACAUCCAAGGAAGGCAGCAGGCGCGCAAAUUACCCAAUCCCGACACGGGGAGGUAGUGACAAUAAAUAACAAUACGGGGCUCUUUCGGGUCUCGUAAUUGGAAUGAGUACAAUUUAAAUCCCUUAACGAGGAACAAUUGGAGGGCAAGUCUGGUGCCAGCAGCCGCGGUAAUUCCAGCUCCAAUAGCGUAUAUUAAAGUUGUUGCAGUUAAAAAGCUCGUAGUUGAAUUUCGGGAUUGACACAUCGGUCGUGCCUUAAGGGGUAUGAACUGGUGUAGUCAAUUUCUCACCUUCUGGAGAACCGCGAUGCCCUUAAUUGGGUGUCACGGGGAACCAGGACCUUUACUUUGAAAAAAUUAGAGUGUUUAAAGCAGGCAUUUUGCUUGAAUACAUUAGCAUGGGAUAAUAAAAUAGGACGGCAUGAUUCUAUUUUGUUGGUUUCUAGGAUCACCGUAAUGAUUAAUAGGGAUAGUUGGGGGCAUUAGUAUUCAAUUGUCAGAGGUGAAAUUCUUGGAUUUAUUGAAGACUAACUACUGCGAAAGCAUUUGCCAAGGAUGUUUUCAUUAAUCAAGAACGAAAGUUAGGGGAUCGAAGACGAUCAGAUACCGUCGUAGUCUUAACCAUAAACUAUGCCGACUAGGAAUCAGACGAUGUUAAUUUUUUAAUGACUCGUUUGGCACCUUACGGGAAACCAAAGUGUUUGGGUUC